rnacentral:rRNA from 1 species
UACGAAGGGGGCUAGCGUUGCUCGGAAUCACUGGGCGUAAAGGGUGCGUAGGCGGGUCUUUAAGUCAGGGGUGAAAUCCUGGAGCUCAACUCCAGAACUGCCUUUGAUACUGAGGAUCUUGAGUCCGGGAGAGGUGAGUGGAACUGCGAGUGUAGAGGUGAAAUUCGUAGAUAUUCGCAAGAACACCAGUGGCGAAGGCGGCUCACUGGCCCGGUACUGACGCUGAGAUACGAAAGCGUGGGGAGCAAACAGG